GACGGUGGUGUAAUGGAUAGCACAUCAGGCUCAUUAUCUGAAAAUGGAGGUUCGAAUCCUUC
rnacentral:tRNA from 1 species